AGCAGUGGGGAAUAUUGCACAAUGGGCGCAAGCCUGAUGCAGCCAUGCCGCGUGUAUGAAGAAGGCCUUCGGGUUGUAAAGUACUUUCAGCGGGGAGGAAGGGAGUAAAGUUAAUACCUUUGCUCAUUGACGUUACCCGCAGAAGAAGCACCGGCUAACUCCGUGCCAGCAGCCGCGGUAAUACGGAGGGUGCAAGCGUUA
rnacentral:rRNA from 1 species